AACCCAGACUCCUACGGGAGGCAGCAGUGAGGAAUAUUGGUCAAUGGCCGGAAGGCUGAACCAGCCAAGUCGCGUGAGGGAAUAAGGCCCUAUGGGUCGUAAACCUCUUUUGUCAGGGAGCAAAGGCGUCCACGUGUGGACGAGAGGAGAGUACCUGAAGAAAAAGCAUCGGCUAACUCCGUGCCAGCAGCCGCGGUAAUACGGAGGAUGCGAGCGUUAUCCGGAUUUAUUGGGUUUAAAGGGUGCGUAGGCGGAAUGCCAAGUCAGCGGUCAAAUUGCGGGGCUCAACCCCGUACUGCCGUUGAAACUGCAUCCCUUGAGUGCGCGAGAAGUAUGCGGAAUGCGUGGUGUAGCGGUGAAAUGCAUAGAUAUCACGCAGAACUCCGAUUGCGAAGGCAGCAUGCCGGCUCCACACUGACGCUGAGGCACGAAAGCGUGGGUAUCGAACAGGAUUAGAUACCCCUGUA
rnacentral:rRNA from 1 species